rnacentral:rRNA from 1 species
GACGAACGCUGGCGGCGUGCUUAACACAUGCAAGUCGAACGGAAAGGCCCUGCUUUUGUGGGGUGCUCGAGUGGCGAACGGGUGAGUAACACGUGAGUAACCUGCCCUUGACUUUGGGAUAACUUCAGGAAACUGGGGCUUAUCCCGGAUAGGAGCUCCUGCUGCUUGGUGGGGGUUGGACAGUUUCGGCGGUUGGUGAUGGACUCGCGGCUUAUCAGCUUGUUGGUGGGGUAGUGGCGUACCAAGGCUUUGACGGGUAGCCGGCCUGAGAGGGUGACCGGCCACAUUGGGACUGAGAUACGGCCCAGACUCCUACGGGAGGCAGCAGUGGGGAAUAUUGCACAAUGGGCGGAAGCCUGAUGCAGCAACGCCGCGUGCGGGAUGACGGCCUUCGGGUUGUAAACCGCUUUCGCCUGUGACGAAGCGGGAGUGACGGUAAUGGGUAAAGAAGCACCGGCUAACUACGUG